GAGUGUGUCCUCCCUCAUACUCUUGGUGUCCACGAUCACGCAAGUGUACCUGGACAGGCAAGGUAUGGGGGAUAUCGGCGACACUUCGACUUUCCUGGAUUUCUACUGGCUCCUGUACGACAUACUUAAUGAGGUCAAAGAGUUUGCGGAUUUGAAUUGCUAUUACCCCACCUAUUGGCCCGCCGCGUUGCUCGCCCCCGACCACUGCAAUCCCUACCGCCUGGUGGAGGAGACCCGCCGUGCCUUGGAAAACGGAGGUGGUGAAAUUCAGACAGAAUUUAGGUCUUUUACUAAAUCUGGGGAUUUGGUGUUGAGGAUAAAAAAUAUCGUGCUUGAGAGACUUUAAGAAAUGACCUCUUUGUUAGUGUCUUCCUAACAUUAUUUUUUAUCUGCGGCAACUAAGUCUCCUGGAAAGUGACGCCUGAAUUGUUUAAACUUCCUACCUCGGGAUUUCCAAGGCUUGCGUGCGGUGUUGCCUCCACCAGGCGGAUGGGAUGAUGGGAUCCGAACCCGCUGCUGACUCCACAGAGUGGAAGGAACUGCCUGCACCUCCUUUGUUUCUGCGGUAACGUGCGGGGAGGACAUUUAAGCAGCCAUUGCUGCCAUCCGGGGGUGUGAGGACUGACCUGAAGGACCUUCCCUCCAUGAUGGUCACGGUGGAAUCCAUCCUGAUAACACAGAUGCUCCUCCCCAUGCUGACUUGGGCAACGAAAGCCACUGCCCCGCCACGGGAGUGAGAGGAACUGACCUGAACACCGCCUUCCUGCUUGCUGUAAGGAAAGCGUUGCUGCUGGCCCUGCUGGAGAAAGUCUACCGUCUACGUCAUUGUGCACCAGUACCCAAGACGGCCAGGCAGCUGGGAGCACAAGCCACCACACUGUGGAAGGAAGUCUGUACCCACGCGGUCAUUCUCCAAAAUGGCGCAUCGAAUCGGUUGUUCCCUGAAUCCCCUGCAAAGCCUUCUCUCUGUGAUGGCCACGGUGGAAUCUAACCUGAUGGCACAGCCGCUGGCGAGUGUUUGAGUCUGACUACUCUCUGGCCCUGAGCUCGAGACUUCAGAUGAAGCCAGACAACCGAAUAUCUCCCCUGCUCCUCCCCGCGGUGCUUGCCUUGCCUUGCCGAGUAUACAAGGUUGUGCACAACUAUAGCGACGGAAUGGAUCACAUUAUACACUUGGGUGCUGAUGAACACUGCUAUUACCCGACAUACUGGCCCGUCUCGUUGCUCGCCCCUGACCACUGCAACCAACACUGCCUUCGAUAGAGCCUUUGCUGCCACCAGGGGUGGGUGGGUGGAGCCUGGCCUGGACCUCCCCUUCAUGCUGUUCCUGCUGGAGAAAGUCUACCUCCCCUUAAUGAUCCUGCUGGAGAAAGUCUACCUUCCCUUCCUGGUGAAUUCAGUUUGAACUUCAACCCCUGCGUAUUCUAGGGCCCGGCGGUGACCGUCUUUAGAUUCAGUGACAUGCCCGAGUUCAGUUUGAACUUUAUCCCCUGCGUUUUAUAAGGCCCGGCGGUGACUGUCUUUAGAUUCAGUGACGAGCCCGAGUUCAGUUUGAACUUCAUCCCCUGCGUUUUCUAAGGCCCGGCGGUGACAGUCUUUAGAUUCAGUGACAUGUCUGAGUUCAGUUUGAACUUCAUCCCCUGCGUUUUCUAAGGCCCGGCGGUGACAGUCUUUAGAUUCAGUGACAUGUCUGAGUUCAGUUUGAACUUUAUCCCCUUCGUCUUCAAAGGCCCGGCGGUGACCAUCUUUAGAUUAAGAGACCUGCCUGAAAUCUGUUUGAAAAUUAUCCCCUACGUUG